UACAGAGGUCUCAAGCGUUGUUCGGAUUCAUUGGGCGUAAAGGGUGCGUAGGCGGCGCGGUAAGUCGGGUGUGAAAUCUCGGAGCUUAACUCCGAAACUGCAUUCGAUACUGCCGUGCUUGAGGACUGGAGAGGAGACUGGAAUUUACGGUGUAGCGGUGAAAUGCGUAGAUAUCGUAAGGAAGACCAGUGGCGAAAGCGACUUCCUGGACCAGUACCGACGUUCAGGCACGAAAGCGUGGGGAGCAAACAGG
rnacentral:rRNA from 1 species